rnacentral:rRNA from 1 species
GUGCCAGCAGCCGCGGUAAUACAGAGGUGCCAAGCGUUAGGCGGAAUCACUGGGCUUAAAGCGCGUGUAGGCGGGUCGUUAAGUGUCUUGUGAAAUCCCACGGCUCAACCGUGGAACUGCUGGGCAUACUGACGAUCUUGAGGCACUCAGGGGCUGUCGGAACAAAUGGUGGAGCGGUGAAAUGCGUAGAUAUCAUUUGGAACGCCAACGGUGAAAACAGACAGCUGGGGGUGUCCUGACGCUGAGACGCGAAAGCCAGGGGAGCGAACGGGAUUAGAAACCCUCGUAGUCC